ACCAGUCUAGGGACAGCUCUACCUGAGAUGGUCUGGGUUCUUCCCUAUCAGUCACUCGUGCCCUACAGCCGAUCUAUGGAGAUAUUUUAUCUAUUGAGGUUCCCUCCUUUCAGAUGACUCUGUGUUUUGUCACAUUGACAUAAAACAAGCCAGCAUUGUGUUGGGCUAUUUUCCCAGUCAGGGCAAGUCCAGCAGUAGAUUCUUAGUGUAGAAUGACGACCACCAAGCACUUACCUCACAAAGAAAGCUCCAUCACCAUGGCAACACCCACCUUAAGCAUUCUAAGGAGGCCAUUACCUCAAAUCAGUCCUCAGGAAUCAGGCAGAAUAUUUUGUCAGGAUAUCUGAGGGAUGAAUGGAAAGAUGUGGGUUUUGUUUUUACUUUGGGACCCAGUGAUACAGUUUGUAGAAACUCUUGCCUUCACUGCUGCCCCAGUGUGACAUGCCGAGUCACUACUGCCCCAGUGUGACAUGCUGAGUCACUACUGCCCCAGUGUGAUAUGCUGAGUCAGGGCAGUACUCUCCCUGCUUCCUGGCUCUUGCAGACCUUAGUCAAGUUUCAGUGGUUGUUUACAGCUGUGAUAGAAUAUAAGCCAGUGUCACUCCGGCGAGACUGAGGAAUGACUAAAGUGCAAGUGUCGUCCACCACCUGUUUGUUGACAUGGGUGUCAUAGACAACAGGCUCUUUGCUAUCCGGCUUCUUUGGAGGAGCCUUAAACCAGAAGGGGCAAAUUUCAUAAAGAAGGUAGAAGAUGGCUAUUGCCUUAUGGUAUGUAAUCCACACAAAAACCAAGCGACCACACUUUCCUGACUAUGCAGUGGACCCUGACUGAUACCUGGUGCAGGUGGAGGCGGAGCUUCGUAUUCUUCCUCUUCUACAACAGGGACUGGCUCCUCCUCUUCAGCAGUGACUUCUUCAGGUUCUUCAUAUACUUUAAAGAUAUUAGUCAAUUGUAUUUCAGUGUGUGAGACAAAAUUAUAAAACACAGAAAACAUCCAAA